GAGAACUGUCAUACCAUGCUGAAAACACCGGUUCUUGUCCGAUCCCCCAAAGUUAAGCAGCAUCGGGUCUGGUUAGUACUUGGAUGGGUGACCGUCUGGGAAUCCCAGAUGCAGUUUUCU
rnacentral:rRNA from 1 species